GUCGCGUGGCUCACGGACACGUAAGCUCGGCUGACCUUUCGUUCCAUCGAAACCCCACCGCUGUUUACUUCCCGUGCGCACGUCUCUCCGAGGAGCGAGGGCUGCCUCGCCCGCGCGCUUGUGUUUCUUUGUUGGUUGUGUGUGUGUGUGUGUGUGUGUGUGUGUGUGUGUGUGUGUUGGUGGCGAGGCGGCGUUGUCGUCUCCCAGAUUCCGUUUGCUGCUCCGGGCUGUUUUUCCAGAGGAGGUCCUGACCGUCCGCGGAGCCUCAGAGGGCCGCGGAGGCGUCUCGUCCACUGGGGGGGGUUGUGCUUGCUCACAGGCUCGCAUUAAAGCAGAUGGUGUGAGGUCGACCUCUCCACCUCUUCACCUCACCUGCUCUCACCACCGACGGCUUCGCUCAACCAGAUAACAACCGAGCAGCUUGUUAUAGCAUGCAUUCAUUAAAGUUUCAGCGCUCCCUGCACCUUAAACAGCCUCGGAGAGAAAGAGACCGAAAUCCUGAAAAGUUGUUACUGGUUUCUCUGCGAAAUAACAACGAAAGUUUCAAAAUCAGCAAAGUAUUAUAACGGAUGCACUUUUUGAAAAAGCGGUCCUGCAUUUGAGAGUUAGUCAGUGGCGGCCGUCAUCGGCCCAUUUCUUAUCCGGCGGAGGCCUUUUGCAACAAACCAGAUCCAUCGUAGAGUGAAUGUGAGUAGAACGAGAUGAGAGGAACACAUCGUGUUUUCACCGGCAGACAAUGGGCCCGAUGUCGCCGCUUAAAACGGAGCUUCCCAGAACGCAACCCAACGUGUUUUGACCCCGCCGGUGUUGCUCUUCCCACAAAACACACCAAACAUUUUCCUUUUUCGACCAGUGAAGGGAAGUGAGCGUCGAUGGGACUCUGACAGAGAAAAGAAGGCAAUGAGGAUCUGUUCCACUUGGUUUUGGGCCUCCACAGUUUCCUUCUGUUUUCCUGCGUCCUCCCCCAGCGCAGCUGCGUUAAAACGCCACGUGUACACAUUGUGCGUGGGCCCGGGUGGGCCGGACCCCUGCCCGUCAGCGGCAUUCUCAUUCUCUCAUUCUCAUUCUCAGCGGCCGAAGAGAAAACCUUUGUAAUUGCAGCUGAUUGGCCCUCGAUUAGGUUUGCGGGUUUGCUACUUUCCUCCGGUGGUUUUGGCAAACGUGGGCAGCGGGAUCUCCUCCUGAAGUUCGCUGCUCGGGUUUUCAACGCCGCUCCCGGAGUAAUGAGGCUGAAACGCGAGCCACGGAAAUCAAUAAGGAGCUCCUGCUGUGGGAGCUGUAGUAGUUAUUUUCUCUACUUAUUACAGGGAAAAGUCUGGCUGCUUUGAUCAGCACUUUCAAACGUCAACAAAAACAAUCUCUGGCCUGUUUGUGAGACACGAGCUGUGAGGGAAUAAUGAAUUAUGGGGGGAUACAUUCUGCAACUGCUACUUAAUGUCACUAAAGUAUGAAUAAAACACAGCAAUCACCUUAGAAAUGGACGUUUCCGCCUGAAAAUGAACUGGAAGCGACACGAGAGACAGAAUGGAGACGCCGUCGUGGUUUAUUAGUGAGAAAUGAUCCGUAACAGAAAUGUGUGGCAGGGCAGUUUACUUACUUACUAAUACGAUUUUGUGAUUCAGUCACAUUGUUAUAAUUAAGUUGAACAUAAGAAAGGCUCUAAAUUUCUUUGCAGCUUGAUGUUUGAGGCUUGUCAGUGUGUGAGUGUGUCGACACAACCAGGAACCCAGAACCCAGAAGCACUUUCACUACUCAAACAGGAUUUACAUACGUGUGUAUGUCAUCACCUUCUCUAACUUUUACAAUGUUUAUGUUUUUUUGUCAGGUUCCGGAUACAUGAUGAUCAUAAUUAACGUUGUGAUGAAGCCAGAUGCCUUCAUCGAUCAUCUGGACACGCCACUCGUGCUGCUUGUGCUGAAACCCGGCGGACGCUCUUCCUUCACUGUAAUAACACGAGUGUGUAAACCAAGUAUAAAAACUAAACCAACACUACACACAAGCAAUGGUGGUUGUGUGAAGACGCGCCUUUAUGUGCGUCCAUCCUGCCAACCACGUCCAGCAGGUUGCUGGAGGAGCGCCAUGUCUGUUGUUUCGGCCCCUCUUUGGAGGCUCGGCGGGGUCUUUCCCACCGGCUCAGGGUCCUGAGAAGAAACGUGUUCUCGUCCUUCUUCACCGUCAUUCAAUCACGUCACAGAGGGACAAACGCACACGGGACGCUUUCAAUGACAAUUUUACUGUUAAAAUAGAGAUCAGAAGAGAAGAGAUCAACUUCAGAGAGGUCAGCAGAACCUCUGUGGAAGACGUGAAUAUGCUGGAUGGGGAAGAUGAUUAAGAGCAUAAUGACCAAGGGCCAAUUUUAAAAAAUGCUGCAGCGGUUUGCUUCCCUUUGGAACUUCAAAGCGGGAAAAGAGACAAAACGGAGGGAACAGAAAUAGAGGGGAACAAUCUUUGCUGCUGGAAAAAAAAAAGCGAAAUGUACUUCAAGCACCUUGAAGUCUGAGUAAUAUGAG
ensembl:lncRNA